rnacentral:rRNA from 1 species
CGCCUUGCCAGCCCGCUCAGAACUUAAAUGAAUUGACGGGGGCCCGCGACAAGCGGCGGAGCAUGUGGAUUAAUUCGAUGCAACGCGAAGAACCUUACCUGGGUUUGACAUACACCGGAAAACCGUAGAGAUACGGUCCCCCUUGUGGUCGGUGUACAGGUGGUGCAUGGCUGUCGUCAGCUCGUGUCGUGAGAUGUUGGGUUAAGUCCCGCAACGAGCGCAACCCUUGUCUUAUGUUGCCAGCACGUGAUGGUGGGGACUCGUAAGAGACUGCCGGGGUCAACUCGGAGGAAGGUGGGGACGACGUCAAGUCAUCAUGCCCCUUAUGUCCAGGGCUUCACACAUGCUACAAUGGCCAGUACAGAGGGCUGCGAGACCGUGAGGUGGAGCGAAUCCCUUAAAGCUGGUCUCAGUUCGGAUCGGGGUCUGCAACUCGACCCCGUGAAGUCGGAGUCGCUAGUAAUCGCAGAUCAGCAACGCUGCGGUGAAUACGUUCCCGGGCCUU